UGAUAGCUCAGUCGGUAGAGCAAUCGGCUGUUAACCGAUCGGUCGCAGGUUCGAGUCCUGCU
rnacentral:tRNA from 1 species